rnacentral:rRNA from 1 species
GCGAAAGGGUGCGUAUGACAUGAAGAACGUACCCCUCCGUUCNGAAUAACCCCGCGAAAGCGGGGCUAAUACCGGAUACGGCCGCGGCGACGCCUGUCGCUGCGGUGAAAGUCGCAAGACGCGGAUGGAGCGCUUCAUGGCCUAUCAGCUAGUUGGCGGGGUAACGGCCCACCAAGGCGAUGACGGGUAGCCGGACUGAGAGGUCGACCGGCCACACGGGGACUGAGACACGGCCCCGACAUCUACGGAUGGCAGCAGUAGGGAAUAUUGCGCAAUGGGCGAAAGCCUGACGCAGCGACGCCGCGUGGGGGAUGAAGGCCUUCGGGUUGUAAACCCCUUUCAUGUGGGACGAAUACCGACUUAACCACAGGAAGAAGCACCGGCUAACUCCGUGCCAGCAGCUGCGGUAAGACGGAGAGUGCAAACGUUGUUCGGAUUUACUGGGCGUAGAGGGCACGUANGCGGCCAGGCAAAUCAGUUGUGGAAUCCCGACGCCUACCGUCGGAACGGCANUUGAAAAUACCUGGCUCGAGGGCAUGANGGGUCGCGGGACUCCUGGUGGAGCGGUGAAUGCGUAAAUAUCAGGAGNACGCCNGAGGCNAA